rnacentral:misc_RNA from 1 species
UAAAGUGCGAUAUGAAGUGCGAUUUGCAUGAAUCUGUGAGUCAUCAUGUCUUUGAACGCAACUUGCGCCCAGCAAUGGGCAUGUCUGUUUGAGGGUCGCAAAAAGUGGAAACUUGGAAGCUUGAAAAAGUGGAAACUUGUUUCUGCGGUGCCGGCAUUGGAUGCGGGUCAAAGAGAGCACGGGUCGGCAAGACGGCAGCCUGUGCCAGAGAGCUCCGCUCUUCUCAGGGGAAAGUCCAAGGACCAAGUGAUUAAUGAUCACGAUAGCGUGAUUAUCGUCACGAUAGCGUGAUUAGCAUCACUACUACUUACCAGACCUCAAAUCAGGCAAGACCACCCGCUGAACUUAA